UAUGCAAUAUGCACGUGCGCUUGGGCCCAGGGUCUUUUGCCUCACCAUCCCCACUACUGACUCCCUGUUGCUACUCGGCUUCAAAAAAGAAAGUGUCCCCGGAUUUAUUUUUUAAAAAUCUGGUACUGUAACCAUAAUCUAACCCCCACAACAACCCUGUGAAGUAGGUCAGGCCGAGAGAGGCAGCGACUGGCACCCAAGGUGAGCGUCGUAGCUGAGCUGGAGAUUUGAACCCUGGUUGCUCCCAGGUCCUGGUCCAGUGCUCUAACCACUACACCACACUGGCACAUUGGUGGUGGCCCCAGUUGUGCCUCUGCUUACAAUUCCAGGCUGCAAGGCUCUGAGGAGGCGUUUUAAGAUGCAGGAGCUGGUUCACGGAGCCCUGCUCUGCCUCUGUGGGGGACACAGGUCUAAUCUAGUGCUCUUGCGGCCAAACUGUGGUGCUGUGGUUGAGACCUGGGAGAGACCAGGAUUUGAAUCCCCACAUGGCCUGGGUGACAGCCAGUGCCUCUCGGCCUAAUCUGAAACAUUAUGCCGCCUUCAGCUCCUUGGAGGGAAAAAAGCGGGAUGAAAUGCAAUCAAUCUAUCAAUCGGCCCCUCGCACCCCAAAUCUCUCUUACAGCGGAAGGUCCCCGGGAGUCAUGAGAAGGACGUUACUUCUGAGAAACCGGGCGCCGUCUGCCCCAGGACCUCAGCAGAGCCGGCUUUGCAAAGAGUUGCUCCUGCCUCUGAGGUCCUUGUGGAGGAGCUCUCGCAAGCCAUGUUGCGCCUGGGCAUGGGUCUGGAGAAGGAGUAUGCCUAUGACAUCUUCAGGCAGCCUGAUGGUGAGUUGGAGGGGGUGGUGACUAUUGGGAUACUGCCAGGGAGACGGGGGCAUGAGGCAGGUCCCUAGCUGGCUCCGAAUGAUCACCGCUCUCCCGUGGAACAGCAUCAGUCAAUUAGCGACACGAGCCUCAGAUACGUUCCAAGACCCGUGCACACCCUUUCAGCAGGGUGUAUAAAUCUUCCACAAUGGAAGAAGCAGACAGAGAGAGCAUAUUUACAGCUUUAUUCAGCUUAGUUCAGGAACAAAGGAAACAUGACUGCUUGCCUUCAUAUCCAGCAAAACAGCUGCAUAUCAAAGCUACAUGCAAUGGAAGUUCCCAGUGAGAGCUGGAAGUAAACAGGCAUGUGAUACACAAACGUCAUGCCUGUACCCUUUUAAGGUGGAACGGAACUAUAUCCUAACAGUGACUUCCAUCCUGAGGACCAGUGUUGGAAUCCCUGCCUCCCAAGAAAGGCC
rnacentral:lncRNA from 1 species